rfam:Ovis aries breed Texel chromosome 8, whole genome shotgun sequence.
UCCCUGGUGGUCUAGUGGCUAAGACUCUGCACUCCCAAUGCAGGGGGCCGGGUUUAUCCCCGGUCAGGGAA